GAUGAACGCUGGCGGCGUGCCUAAUACAUGCAAGUCGAGCGAACAGACGAGGAGCUUGCUCCUCUGACGUUAGCGGCGGACGGGUGAGUAACUCGUGGAUAACCUACCUAUAAGACUGGGAUAACUUCGGGAAACCGGAGCUAAUACCGGAUAAUAUAUUGAACCACAUGGUUCAAUAGUGAAAGACGGUUUUGCUGUCACUUAUAGAUGGAUCCGCGCCGCAUUAGCUAGUUGGUAAGGUAACGGCUUACCAAGGCAACGAUGCGUAGCCGACCUGAGAGGGUGAUCGGCCACACUGGAACUGAGACACGGUCCAGACUCCUACGGGAGGCAGCAGUAGGGAAUCUUCCGCAAUGGGCGAAAGCCUGACGGAGCAACGCCGCGUGAGUGAUGAAGGUCUUCGGAUCGUAAAACUCUGUUAUUAGGGAAGAACAAAUGUGUAAGUAACUAUGCACGUCUUGACGGUACCUAAUCAGAAAGCCACGGCUAACUACGUG
rnacentral:rRNA from 1 species